GGGCGAUUAGCUCAGGGGGAGAGCAUUACCUUGACAAGGUAGGGGUCGCAAGUUCAAAUCUUGCAUCGCCCACCA
rnacentral:tRNA from 1 species